rnacentral:lncRNA from 1 species
ACUUCACUUCCCUUGAAAACCGCCGUCCCAGGUUUCCUUUUAUUCCCCAGGGACCAAUCUUACGUCUCUUUGAAGCCACCCCAGGCGACGGUUGAGAUGAGGCCAAGCGGCAGCCGUCCUCUUCUUUUUAGUUCUGUAUUAAAAUAUGCACGGACUUUGUUCCAGGCAGCUCAACUCUUGAGAUCUUUAGUUACAAAUGAAAGGUUUCUGUUCUUUUUUUUUUUUUUUUCCUCAAUUCCUUCCUCCAAAGGAAAGACACCUGCUGCGCGCAACCAGGAACUCCUAACCCAGGUGCUUCUUUCCAGCUUUUAAAAUAGCGCUGUGCGGAGCGAGAAGACCGUUUAUUAGCACGUAAGGUACUAACAAUGGUAGCGAAGCACCUGCGCUCACUUUCUGUGCUCCGCACUAACUGUACGAAAGCGCAGGGUUAGCUUGCGCCGAAGAGCAUUUCCAGUUUGCCGCUGGGCUCCUUCCCAUCCCACGCGCCGGGUGUUCGCGGGAGUUGCCGGCGCGCUGGGGAGCGAAACUUCAGCAGUGUUUGUUGUUGGAGGUUCUGCACCCGGAACCGCCGGGUAAGUUUGAGCGCCUACGCGAGGCGGCGCAGCGGCCUCCGCAGCCGAGACCUGCGCCCCGGCUCCUCCCCAGGGUGCCCCGAGGGCACACGCGGGCAGCGACUAGAAAACAGUGAAAGGUAAAACCGCCGAAAGCUCUUCCCUUAAAAAGCACCCUCUCCCCAAAGCACAGUUUGCAGCAAACCUCCUGCUCCCUGUAUUUUACGGAUCAGAGAAGCACCCCCCCCCCCAAGUUAUUCAUAGGUGGUGAUGGUGGGGUGUCCUGAUGGCUGCCUUCUGUCUUCUACCCUACAUUCUCUUUUCCGCAACCAACGCUGUGUGUGCGGAAAGGCUUAGCACUAAUUGCGCAAGGAAAAGAUUGCAAAUUACGCAAAUGUACUUAGAGCGCCUGCGGCUCGCAACUUCCCCCCAGGAGCUGGAGCCGGGGAAGUACCCCAGGUUGACUCCCCAGAAUGGACUCGGUCUUGGCGGAUGCAGAAUCGCCUUGACUGCUCACCUGUUCGGACUUCCGAAGGUCCUACGACUCUGCGCCGACCUAGCCUCCAAGCGAACGAAGGGAGUGCUCUUGAGACAACCUGGGGAGGUCCGGCUUCUCUUCGGAAGGUGUGCCUGCCGAAAUCUCUGCAGUCCAGCUAAACCGAUUGCUGCUGCUGGUCUCCCCUGGCGCCUCCAACUUCGGCUUGGCGCAGCGGUGGCGGCAGUUCUGGGCUCGCAGCCCGUUUCGGCCCCGGCCUGCGGGCGCCGCGGCGAACAGGUGCGAGGCUCACUGCCCCGGGUGGAUCCCCAGAUAGGCUCUCCGGGGAAUAAACGAGUGAUCUAGAGGACAUGGCAUCUCAAAACGAGUCUCCACGGAACAUCCUGACUCUGGAAACAAAGGUAAUUCCACUUUAUUGUUUGUUAGGAACUCGCCGAUGUAAAUACAAAGUCAUGUGUUCCCAGGCAGGGUAA